GGCAAGAAGGGGCGCCGGAGGGUACCAGCCCAGAAGGCUGGUGUUGGGACCCCGAGGCUCCCUGCCCUUGAGCCCCAAAUCCGUCUUCUCCCUGCAUCAGCCUGGGCUGUGUGACCUUGGGCAGGGGCUUUGCCUCUCUGGGCCUUAGAGCCCCCCUGAAAGGUGCUGAGCUCAGUGUGGGUGGAUGCGCCGAGGGCAUGCAGAGUCCUUCUGCCGCCUCUGUGGAUGAGAAAUAGGGCCUGUGGUCCACGGCUGCUGUGACAAUGAAGAGAGAACUGUGGAAACUGUGAAGUGCGAUGGACAAAGGGUUGUGUGUCUUAAAUGGUCAUUCGCAGAACUUAAGGCUUUUGAGGCGAGUCCCCAGGAAGACACAGCCACAGCCGCGUGGACCCCACACGUGGGGAAGGGCUGUUCCGGGGCGGCAGGUCCCACUGGGACCAGGCUGAAGCCUAGGGAGUCCUGGAAAGGCUUGGGCAUCCACGGGGCCCCGCUGCAGGUUAACUCCAGGAACCCCCAAGCCCCAGGUCCCUUCGCGGCCCCCCCCCCACCCAUCCUGUGGUCCAGGAGGAACCUGCCCAGAGCAGCGGGAGACGGGGCCCGGGAAGGAGGCCGGGGUCGGUGUUCCAACCGGGGGAAUCGGUUCCCUUCGCUGCAGGCAGCGGGGAGGGUGCGGGGAGCGGAGAGCGGGGGAGGCGGAGAGGGGGGCCGGGAAGAGGGCGAGGGGAGCGGGCGGCCGGGAAGGAGAGGCACACGCGGAGAGGGAUUGAACCUUGAGAGAAGCCGCCCAAGGAAAGGACUGAGGCUCUGACCCGCGGGAGAGGGGAGCGCGCUCCAAACUUAAGAGGGAGAAAAGUCUGCCAGCUGCCCUUGGGGCUGUCACAACAGAUAAAACCUCAUCCAGGCUUCACCGGGAGCGGCCCUGCGCGCUAAUGCACAGCAGCGAGCUAAAAAUCCUGGCUUGAGCGGGGGGGGGGGGCGAGGGGGAGAGGAAGAGGAGGGAGCGGGAGGAAGAGGAGGGAGCGGGAGGAAGAGGAGGGAGGGGGAGGGGAGAAGGAUGGCGAGGAGGGGGGAGGGGGGAGAGGGAGGGGAGCAGGGGCUCAGGCAGCCCCGGUUUUCCUCCGCGUCCUAAUGACCCAGAUGUGCAGCUGCGGGCGAUGACUGCUUGGGGAACUGCAAAUCACCGGCCCCGGCGGGCUCUCCCUUGGACGGGGCGAGGUGGGGAGGAAAGAGCUGGAGAGAGGAAAGGAGAGAGGCAGGGAGUUCGAGGAACCCAGGGAAGAAGCAGGUCUAGGUGGGCUGGGCUCUGAAGGGCAGGGAUCGGGAGGCAAGGGGAGGGGGAGGAGGGAGGGAGAGGAGGACCCGAGGGGGAGCGAAGGAGCCAGAGGGAAAGGGGGAGGGACAAGGAGGGGGGAGGGGAACCGGAAGCGGAAAGGGUGGGGAGGGGGUGGCAGAUCAACCCUGGGGUUCUGAGAGGGAGACCUCCAGCCCUCUGCCCUAAGUCCCACCCCUGGAGUUCGCGUUGUGGCUCAGGGGUAAUGAACCCUGACUAAUAUCCAUGAGGAGGUAGGUUCGAUCCCCGGUUGCCUCGAUGUGUGGUGUAGGUCGCUGAUUCAGCUGGGAUCUGGCGUUGCUGUGGCUGUGGUGUAGGCCUGAUUCAACCCCAAGCCAUGGUUGCAGCCCUAAAAAGGCAAAGAUAAAUACAAAACCCCCAGACCAGCC
rnacentral:lncRNA from 1 species